AAUAUACUCCCUCCGUCCGAAAAAGCUUGUCCCUCAAAUGGAUGUAUUUAGCACCAAGUUAGUGCUAGAUACAUUCAUUUGAGGGACAAGUUUGGGACAAGAUUUUUCGGAAGGAGGGGGUAUUUG
rnacentral:pre_miRNA from 1 species